rnacentral:rRNA from 1 species
AACGAACGCUGGCGGCAGGCUUAACACAUGCAAGUCGAGCGCCCCGCAAGGGGAGCGGCAGACGGGUGAGUAACGCGUGGGAACGUAUCCUUUGCUACGGAAUAGCUCCGGGAAACUGGAAUUAAUACCGUAUGUGCCCUACGGGGGAAAGAUUUAUCGGCAAAGGAUCGGCCCGCGUUGGAUUAGCUAGUUGGUGGGGUAAUGGCCUACCAAGGCGACGAUCCAUAGCUGGUCUGAGAGGAUGGUCAGCCACAUUGGGACUGAGACACGGCCCAAACUCCUACGGGAGGCAGCAGUGGGGAAUAUUGGACAAUGGGCGCAAGCCUGAUCCAGCCAUGCCGCGUGAGUGAUGAAGGCCUUAGGGUUGUAAAGCUCUUUCACCGGAGAAGAUAAUGACGGUAUCCGGAGAAGAAGCCCCGGCUAACUUCGUGCCAGCAGCCGCCGUAAAAC